GUAAAAACACAAACGACUCUCGGCAACGGAUAUCUAGGCUCUCGCAACGAUGAAGAACGUAGCGAAAUGCGAUACUUGGUGUGAAUUGCAGAAUCCCGUGAACCAUCGAGUUUUUGAACGCAAGUUGCGCCCGAAGCCUUCUGGCCGAGGGCACGUCUGCCUGGGC
rnacentral:rRNA from 1 species